rnacentral:rRNA from 1 species
GGGGAGAGGGGGGCUAUCUGCAGUCGAGCGAACAGAUAGGAGCUUGCUCCUUUGACGUUAGCGGCGGACGGGUGAGUAACACGUGGAUAACCUACCUAUAAGACUGGGAUAACUUCGGGAAACCGGAGCUAAUACCGGAUAACAUAUUGAACCGCAUGGUUCAAUAGUGAAAGGCGGCUUUGCUGUCACUUAUAGAUGGAUCCGCGCCGUAUUAGCUAGUUGGUAAGGUAACGGCUUACCAAGGCAACGAUACGUAGCCGACCUGAGAGGGUGAUCGGCCACACUGGAACUGAGACACGGUCCAGACUCCUACGGGAGGCAGCAGUAGGGAAUCUUCCGCAAUGGGCGAAAGCCUGACGGAGCAACGCCGCGUGAGUGAUGAAGGUCUUCGGAUCGUAAAACUCUGUUAUCAGGGAAGAACAAAUGUGUAAGUAACUGUGCACAUCUUGACGGUACCUGAUCAGAAAGCCACGGCUAACUACGUGCCAGCAGCCGCGGUAAUACGUAGGUGGCAAGCGUUAUCCGGAAUUAUUGGGCGUAAAGCGCGCGUAGGCGGUUUUUUAAGUCUGAUGUGAAAGCCCACGGCUCAACCGUGGAGGGUCAUUGGAAACUGGAAAACUUGAGUGCAGAAGAGGAAAGUGGAAUUCCAUGUGUAGCGGUGAAAUGCGCAGAGAUAUGGAGGAACACCAGUGGCGAAGGCGACUUUCUGGUCUGUAACUGACGCUGAUGUGCGAAAGCGUGGGGAUCAAACAGGAUUAGAUACCCUGGUAGUCCACGCCGUANACGAUGAGUGCUAAGUGUUAGGGGGUUUCCGCCCCUUAGUGCUGCAGCU